AGGUUCUAAUUGGUCUGCCAUGCUCACCUGGUAUAGUGUUCGUGUUGCCCAUCUGUUAUCAGCUCAGAACAUCCAUUUAAACUAAAGGCUCUAACUGAUCUGCCAUGAAAAACUGAAUGUUGGAAGUUUUGAAAUUGAAAAAUCUAAUUCAUGGGCCUUGGCAAAAGAUAGACAAGACAGUUACCGAUAUAAACAUCACUCAAAUUUAAAAAAAUAAUGAAGCACACAUAUCAACACUAAAAAUUAAGGCAAGAAAUAUUAUCCAAGGAUGUAAAUGUUGGUAAAAUAUCUUUUUUGGGGAAAAGACAAUAACCCUAUUGACAAAUGAAUGUUUGUGAUGAUUAAGAUAAUAAUUUUCGAUCCAAAAGGGGACGCGUGCCAUCUAUACAUCCUCUAGAAUCCACCACUGGACAUUGGUUGGGUGUAAAUGUAUAAACAUUAUAUAGAUUUAUUACAGGAACAAUAAAAAAAAGAAGAUGUGGUAUGAUUACCAAUGAGACAACUGUCCACAAGAGACCAAAAUGACACAGACAUUAACAACUAUAUUUCACCGUCAGGCC
rnacentral:lncRNA from 1 species